GAUGAACGCUGGCGGCGUGCCUAAUACAUGCAAGUCGAGCGAAUGGAUUAAGAGCUUGCUCUUAUGAAGUUAGCGGCGGACGGGUGAGUAACACGUGGGUAACCUGCCCAUAAGACUGGUAUAACUCCGGGAAACCGGGGCUAAUACCGGAUAACAUUUUGAACCGCAUGCUUCGAAAUUGAAAGGCGGCUUCGGCUGUCACUUAUGCAUGGACCCGCGUCGCAUUAGCUAGUUGGUGAGGUAACGGCUCACCAAGGCAACGAUGCGUAGCCGACCUGAGAGGGUGAUCGGCCACACUGGGACUGAGACACGGCCCAGACUCCUACUGGAGGCAGCAGUAGGGAAUCUUCCGCAAUGGACGAAAGUCUGACGGAGCAACGCCGCGUGAGUGAUGAAGGCUUUCGGGUCGUAAAACUCUGUUGUUAGGGAAGAACAAGUGCUAGUUGAAUAAGCUGGCACCUUGACGGUACCUAACCAGAAAGCCACGGCUAACUACGUGCCAGCCGCCGCGGUAA
rnacentral:rRNA from 1 species